UGGCAGCUAUAGAAUGUUAUGAUUUGAAGAUUUAAAUAUCAUCUUAUUAUGUGUAAUUUACAUGAUAUGGCAUGUUUUUAUACAAUUGUGUAAUUACGAUACAAUGGAUUGUGCCUGUCCCACAGAGCCAGAGCUGCAGUCUGCCCAACAGGAAGUUGAAUUUCUCAGGCAGGAAGUGGAAAAGCUCACUGGUGAGACAUGGGAUCAUAUUUGUCUUACAUCACAUUCAAUUAACCUACAUCGCAUACAGCCCAAAUAGGGUCUCAUAUCUUUUUUAUCUCAUUAAAUAAUCAUUAAGGUGGAAUAUUUCCCAUGAUCCCCCAUGACAAAUCUCCAAAUUCCUGCAGAUAUGCCUGAGCUCCGCAAGGCCAAAGAGCUAAAUGAGUGCCAGGACAAGGAGAUCAAGAUGCUGAGAGACACGGUGCGCAGCAUGGACAACGAGCGUAUGGCUCUCCUUGCCAUGGUAGGUUCAUAGUAUAGAAAGCUUAGGCUCUAUGAUCUCUUAAGGACUUGAAGAGUGUCCACCCCUUCAUACUAGAAUAUAUUAAUCACUCUCCAUUCAUAAAAGACACAUCACAGCGGGUUUAUGGGGGCACUUUGUGUUUUGUUUCAGCUUGAUAGUAAAAUGAUGGAGGUCAGUGACAAUGAGGAUGAAGAGUACCCUCUGAUAUCACUGCCCAAAGUGGAAAAGGCUGAGAUUGCCAUCCAGACUGUAGCUGAUGAUGUGGACAGUUCUCAUGUGAGGUACUGUACCAGACAAUCAACUGCAUCUCAGUACAGCUUGCACAUUUAUGUAUUAUGCAGCAUACAAUGUAUACAAGUGUUUUAUUAAAGAGUGUAACAGAGUGACUAACUGUAUAUGUAUGGAAAUAUGGAAGAGUUUGCUCUUUGGAAGGAAAAAUAGCUUUGCAGUAAUCACUACUUAAAUGGAAAGCUCCAGGGAAGUUUAAGAUUCGGCUAACAAAGAUAAAAUAUAAAAGAUUUAUUAUACAUAUUUUACAUUAGAGAAACACCUGACAAUUAACUUGAAUUUAUCAACAAAAAAAAAGAUUUAUUGACAACAUGCUUGACUAACAUUUAAUCUGAAAGUUUAAUUUGUGAUGUUUUUACCUGAUGUUUUUUCCCAGGUGCCUUGAAGACCUGAACGAGAAGGAUCUUGAGCUGCCUAAGCUGCAGGCAUGUAUCCAGCAGUUGCAGCAGGAGUGCGAUCAGAUGCAAAUGCAGAAAGACCAGGCGAAGGGGCUUCUAGAAGAGCAGGAGCUAAACCACACGACCACCGUGGAGGCCCUGAAGAAGGAGGUGAGUCUGGAGGAAUUCUUGUACUGACAGUUAUUUGCCACUAGAGGGCGAUGAGCGCCACUGUAUGCAAAAGCAACAUAUACAAUACUUCCUCUGUUCUGUUUGUGGUAGAGGAAGAGUUUUUCAU
rnacentral:lncRNA from 1 species